GCAGUCGUGUCCGAAUGGCUUCGGCGAUGAGCUUGAAACCCACUGGAGUUUUUCUGCGUAGGUUCGAAUCCUAUUGGUUGUU